AGGGGCGGCGGGGUCGCGGCGCGGGCUGCGGUGCCCCCGGGCGGGCCGGCGGUGCGCUCUAGCCUGAAGCUACCUGCUGCUAGCCUGGUAGCACCGCGCUUCCUGCCAACUUGGAGGAUACCCGCCUGCCGGUCGGUGGGGGCGCCUGGCUUAGUUGCGGCCCGCCCGGGGCUCUCCAAGUAUAUGUUCUAACGGGAAAAAGUCUUCCAUGAAAACAUCACUUUAAAAAAAUAAGUAAUGGCAUCUGUUUUCCUAAAAGACUGAAAUGGGGGCAAUCAUUCUUAGCAGGUCAUACUCUGUUGCCCAGGCUGGAGUGCAGUG